rnacentral:rRNA from 1 species
GACGAACGCUGGCGGCGUGCUUAACACAUGCAAGUCGAACGGAAAGGCCCUGCUUUUGUGGGGUGCUCGAGUGGCGAACGGGUGAGUAACACGUGAGUAACCUGCCCUUGACUUUGGGAUAACUUCAGGAAACUGGGGCUAAUACCGGAUAGGAGCUCCUGCUGCAUGGUGGGGGUUGGAAAGUUUCGGCGGUUGGGGAUGGACUCGCGGCUUAUCAGCUUGUUGGUGGGGUAGUGGCUUACCAAGGCUUUGACGGGUAGCCCGCCUGAGAGGGUGACCGGCCACAUUGGGACUGAGAUACGGACCAGACUCCAACGGGACGCAGCAGUGGGGAGUAUUGCACAAUGAGCGGACGCCUGAUGCAGAGACGCCGCGUGCGGGAUGACGGCUUUCGAGUUGUAAACCGCUUUGGCCUGUGACGAAGCGUGAGUGACGGUAAUGGGUCAGGAAGCAACGGCUAACUACGUG